CUUUCGAGCAAUAAUUGAAACC
rnacentral:miRNA from 1 species